rnacentral:lncRNA from 1 species
AUGGACAUGCAGGUUUUAAGAAUCAGGCUGGUGUGGCAGUUGGCUUCUGGAGAGCUGGGCAUGAUUAUAUUCAUGACUGUGGAGUGUCAGUGCAGUGGUAUUUGGGGGGGCAGACUGAGCCUGUCCCUAUGCUCCUUCUCUCCAGAGAUCUUCAUAUUGUCUUCCUCCCGUGCUGGACACGUGUGCCAAGGAACCUACCUAAAUCCAGAUCUAUGUCCUCCUCCUCUCUGCUCCACCUCAGCCUCUUCCUCCCUGCUGGACACCUGUGCCAAGGAACCUACUAAAUCCAGUGAUCUCUGCAUCCUCCUCCUCCCUGUUGGACACCUGUGCCAAGGAACCUACCUAAAUCCAGAGUCCUCUGCAUCCUCCUCCUCCUUUCUCACCCCGAGCAUCUUCCUUGUCUGCUGGACACCUGUGCCAAGGAACCUACCUCAAUCCAGGGGAAACUUCCAAAAAGCAGUGGCUCAGGGGAAAAAAGGAAAAGGAAGCCUGUGGAGAAAUUUCAGAGAUAGAUCCCAGGGAUGAGAACAGCCUGGCCAGCCACAAACCCCCUUCUACAAUGUCCAGUCAUGUCCUAAAGCACUGCUUUCCAGAUGCCACACUGGACAAAAGUUGACUCUCAAGAACUGCAUGCCCAAGUUUCAAGCUAAAUGCUGUGUGAUUCAGAGCUAUUCCAUCACAGGAUCCAAAGGCAUUCAGACCACGGAGAGCCAGGCACAUCGUCUCCUCUUAGGGCUCCAUAACCAGUAUGGAAACGACCUCUAGCCAUGAAGGAGAAGAGCUCUGUACCCACUAUCAGGAGAUGCAGCGUCCACCCAAGAGUCAGAAGAAGCCCAUAACACACCUUCCAUUGCUGGGCUUAUCCUGGGGUUCCACCAGUGGCAUUGGCAACCCCAUCUCUGCGUCUGGAAUUACCAACACCAAGCAGCAGAUGGGCAUGUCAGGGCUCCUUGUUCUCUAGCGUCCAUUACCUAUACCAGCCCUUCAGAUCCCAUUCUUCUGCAUCCUGACUCCUCCCAGUUCUGUUUGCACUGCUCCUGAGCACCUGUGAGCCUGAUUUGGUCCUCUCCUCUUCAUCUUUUUCUCUGUCAGAAAAAUCAAGGGCUACCUUAGGGCUCUGUGACCAGCUCAGGUGAAAGGAAAAUGCAGAACUUUUCAGAGAUCCCUUAAGAGAUUGGUCUCUGGGAUGUACCCAGCCUGCUCUCCAAGGGACCUCUGCUUUUUCACUCUCCACUGAUGAACACCAGCCCAGCCAUCCUGAGCCUGGAGAGGCAGUUGCAUGCUGUAAGCAAGCUCUCCCGGCGUGGCACCUCCUGGGGGAUCCACCAUCCUCAUUUCCAUCCAUGUCUCUGAGCCUAGAAGGGCAAUACAAGCUUCUGCUGAGCUUAGAUGGUGCUUUUUGGCGCCCUCUGGUGGACAUUCUCUCUAAUGACAACUCAGAACCCUGCCUCCUGUCUCCUGCCCAAACCCACCCCUGGGCCUGUGCACCAGAGAGAGGAUUUAAUUCCUCCGCUCACUCUGAUAACAACCAAGAGCCUUUAAGAGGGUGUGUUUUUCCCUCAAUGCCAGCCAUGGCACCCACUCCUCCCAAUCCUUCACUAUCCUCCUUAAUCAGUGAGCUGAGCCUACUCCAGAAUCGGGUAACUGUUUUUACAUUAGUCAGCUUCCCCUCCUGAUUUAUGUAACACUGACUGGUUGCAGUCAGUGUUUUCCUCUCAGGGAUUAACAAGGGGAGGGAGAGGCUCAGAUGGAAGGAAAAGAAAAAACUUUUCAGAGAGAUAAGUCUGUGUGUUGGAUGCAUCCUGCCCAGCAGGGAACCUCUGCAUUUACACUCUCCGUGCACGACCAACAGCAGCCCGGCUUUCUGAACCCCCAAAACCAUACAAGUCUGAUCCUAGAACAUUGCCUGCCCAAUAUUCAAGCCAACUCCACUUGGGUUCACACAUCUGCCUCUGCAGAAUCCAGAGCUCUUGACAGCCUGCCCAACUGUCUGAAAGUGACCCACAGAAGUGAAGGCAGAAAAGUGUCCUUUCUGUCAGGUGAGGUCAUUUAGAUUUGAGUGUCUGAGGUGAUCCAUAAACUAGCCCUCCUCUGAAGGCACGUGUCAGGAAAUCCACCACCACCACCAUCACCACCACCACCAAUCCCAAGCAGCCGCUGGGCUCCGCCGCUGCUCUGGCGCCCUCUAGUGCCCAUUCUUUAAUAACUCAGAGCCUUUUCUCCUGCCUCCUGACCAAACCCAUGGCUGGACUACACUGGGUUUGUGCAUCUGACAGCCAAUUCCCUCCUACUCUCACUCUGAGAACCACCAUGUACCUUACGAGAGGGCGAGGUGUCUCUCUCAACAUCCCCCAGCUCACUCCUUCCUCCGUGUUCUACUCUAGUCAUUCACCUCCACCUGGAAAUUCAUCUGCCUGCCUUAAUACUCAUUUCAAUUCUCCGGGGGUAACUGCUAGAAAAGAGUGGCUCGGGGAGGAAAACAAAAAGGAAGUCUGUGGUGAAGUUUCAGAAACAGAUUCCAGGGAUUAAUCAGAUUGUUAUGAUCAUUAUACAACUACAGAUGUGAUAAAUUCAUUUGAGUAAAAAAAAAAAAGAAAAAAAAAAAGAUUCCAGGGAUGAGCCACAAACCCCUUCUACACCCUCCAAUCAGGUCCACGAGCACUGCGUUCCAGAUGCCACAUCGGAAAAAAUCCUGGCUCUCAAGAACUUCAUGCCCAAGAUUCAAACCAAAUACUUUUUGAUUCAUGGCUAUUCCAUCAGAGAAUCCAAAGGCAUUAAGACCACGGAUAGCUGGUCACAUCGACUGGUCUUACCGCUCUGUGAGCAGUAGGAAACAACCCCUAACCAUGAAGGAAGAGCUCUGAACCCACUAUCAGGACAUGCAUCAUCCAGAGAGUCAGAAGAUGCCCAAAACUCACCUUCCAUCGCUGUGCACAUCCUUGGGGUUCCACCAGCACCACUGGCAACCCCAACUCUGAGUGUGGAAGUGCCAACACCAGGCAGCAGAUGGGCACAACUGGGCUCCUCGUCCUCUAACGGCCAUUGCCCAUACCAACCCUUGAGAUCCCAGUCUUCUGCCUCCUGACCCCUCCCAGUUCUGUUUGCACUGCUCUUAAACACCUGUGAGCCUGAUCGGAUCCUCUCCUGUCUCUGUCUCGCACUC